rnacentral:rRNA from 1 species
GGGUUGUGAGGUUAAGCGACUAAGCGUACACGGUGGAUGCCCUGGCAGUCAGAGGCGAUGAAGGACGUGCUAAUCUGCGAUAAGCGUCGGUAAGGUGAUAUGAACCGUUAUAACCGGCGAUUUCCGAAUGGGGAAACCCAGUGUGUUUCGACACACUAUCAUUAACUGAAUCCAUAGGUUAAUGAGGCGAACCGGGGGAACUGAAACAUCUAAGUACCCCGAGGAAAAGAAAUCAACCGAGAUUCCCCCAGUAGCGGCGAGCGAACGGGGAGGAGCCCAGAGCCUGAAUCAGUGUGUGUGUUAGUGGAAGCGUCUGGAAAGGCGCGCGAUACAGGGUGACAGCCCCGUACACAAAAAUGCACAUGCUGUGAGCUCGAUGAGUAGGGCGGGACACGUGGUAUCCUGUCUGAAUAUGGGGGGACCAUCCUCCAAGGCUAAAUACUCCUGACUGACCGAUAGUGAACCAGUACCGUGAGGGAAAGGCGAAAAGAACCCCGGCGAGGGGAGUGAAAAAGAACCUGAAACCGUGUACGUACAAGCAGUGGGAGCCUCUUUAUGGGGUGACUGCGUACCUUUUGUAUAAUGGGUCAGCGACUUAUAUUCUGUAGCAAGGUUAACCGAAUAGGGGAGCCGAAGGGAAACCGAGUCUUAACUGGGCGUUAAGUUGCAGGGUAUAGACCCGAAACCCGGUGAUCUAGCCAUGGGCAGGUUGAAGGUUGGGUAACACUAACUGGAGGACCGAACCGACUAAUGUUGAAAAAUUAGCGGAUGACUUGUGGCUGGGGGUGAAAGGCCAAUCAAACCGGGAGAUAGCUGGUUCUCCCCGAAAGCUAUUUAGGUAGCGCCUCGUGAAUUCAUCUCCGGGGGUAGAGCACUGUUUCGGCAAGGGGGUCAUCCCGACUUACCAACCCGAUGCAAACUGCGAAUACCGGAGAAUGUUAUCACGGGAGACACACGGCGGGUGCUAACGUCCGUCGUGAAGAGGGAAACAACCCAGACCGCCAGCUAAGGUCCCAAAGUCAUGGUUAAGUGGGAAACGAUGUGGGAAGGCCCAGACAGCCAGGAUGUUGGCUUAGAAGCAGCCAUCAUUUAAAGAAAGCGUAAUAGCUCACUGGUCGAGUCGGCCUGCGCGGAAGAUGUAACGGGGCUAAACCAUGCACCGAAGCUGCGGCAGCGACGCUUAUGCGUUGUUGGGUAGGGGAGCGUUCUGUAAGCCUGUGAAGGUGUACUGUGAGGUAUGCUGGAGGUAUCAGAAGUGCGAAUGCUGACAUAAGUAACGAUAAAGCGGGUGAAAAGCCCGCUCGCCGGAAGACCAAGGGUUCCUGUCCAACGUUAAUCGGGGCAGGGUGAGUCGACCCCUAAGGCGAGGCCGAAAGGCGUAGUCGAUGGGAAACAGGUUAAUAUUCCUGUACUUGGUGUUACUGCGAAGGGGGGACGGAGAAGGCUAUGUUGGCCGGGCGACGGUUGUCCCGGUUUAAGCGUGUAGGCUGGUUUUCCAGGCAAAUCCGGAAAAUCAAGGCUGAGGCGUGAUGACGAGGCACUACGGUGCUGAAGCAACAAAUGCCCUGCUUCCAGGAAAAGCCUCUAAGCAUCAGGUAACAUCAAAUCGUACCCCAAACCGACACAGGUGGUCAGGUAGAGAAUACCAAGGCGCUUGAGAGAACUCGGGUGAAGGAACUAGGCAAAAUGGUGCCGUAACUUCGGGAGAAGGCACGCUGAUAUGUAGGUGAAGUCCCUCGCGGAUGGAGCUGAAAUCAGUCGAAGAUACCAGCUGGCUGCAACUGUUUAUUAAAAACACAGCACUGUGCAAACACGAAAGUGGACGUAUACGGUGUGACGCCUGCCCGGUGCCGGAAGGUUAAUUGAUGGGGUUAGCGGUAACGCGAAGCUCUUGAUCGAAGCCCCGGUAAACGGCGGCCGUAACUAUAACGGUCCUAAGGUAGCGAAAUUCCUUGUCGGGUAAGUUCCGACCUGCACGAAUGGCGUAAUGAUGGCCAGGCUGUCUCCACCCGAGACUCAGUGAAAUUGAACUCGCUGUGAAGAUGCAGUGUACCCGCGGCAAGACGGAAAGACCCCGUGAACCUUUACUAUAGCUUGACACUGAACAUUGAGCCUUGAUGUGUAGGAUAGGUGGGAGGCUUUGAAGUGUGGACGCCAGUCUGCAUGGAGCCGGCCUUGAAAUACCACCCUUUAAUGUUUGAUGUUCUAACGUUGACCCGUGAUCCGGGUUGCGGACAGUGUCUGGUGGGUAGUUUGACUGGGGCGGUCUCCUCCUAAAGAGUAACGGAGGAGCACGAAGGUUGGCUAAUCCUGGUCGGACAUCAGGAGGUUAGUGCAAUGGCAUAAGCCAGCUUGACUGCGAGCGUGACGGCGCGAGCAGGUGCGAAAGCAGGUCAUAGUGAUCCGGUGGUUCUGAAUGGAAGGGCCAUCGCUCAACGGAUAAAAGGUACUCCGGGGAUAACAGGCUGAUACCGCCCAAGAGUUCAUAUCGACGGCGGUGUUUGGCACCUCGAUGUCGGCUCAUCACAUCCUGGGGCUGAAGUAGGUCCCAAGGGUAUGGCUGUUCGCCAUUUAAAGUGGUACGCGAGCUGGGUUUAGAACGUCGUGAGACAGUUCGGUCCCUAUCUGCCGUGGGCGCUGGAGAACUGAGGGGGGCUGCUCCUAGUACGAGAGGACCGGAGUGGACGCAUCACUGGUGUUCGGGUUGUCAUGCCAAUGGCACUGCCCGGUAGCUAAAUGCGGAAGAGAUAAGUGCUGAAAGCAUCUAAGCACGAAACUUGCCCCGAGAUGAGUUCUCCCUGACUCCUUGAGAGUCCUGAAGGAACGUUGAAGACGACGACGUUGAUAGGCCGGGUGUGUAAGCGCAGCGAUGCGUUGAGCUAACCGGUACUAAUGAACCGUGAGGCUUAACCUUACAACGCCGAAGGUGUUU